GAGACUUUAUUGGUUGUAACAGCUGGAGAGCUGAGGGACAGAGAAGGCUAUUUACAAAAAUCACUUGAGAAAAUGGUCACCCAAGAGUUAUGAAAAGGUUAAAGAGCUACACAUCGGCUGGGAUUUCCUUCAUUACUUCAGCAAACAUGGGGUCGGAGAGUCUGCU